UACGGGAGGCAGCAGUGGGGAAUAUUGGACAAUGGGCGAAAGCCUGAUCCAGCCAUGCCGCAUGAGUGAAGAAGGCCUUCGGGUUGUAAAGCUCUUUUAGUGAGAAAGAUAAUGACGGUACUCACAGAAGAAGUCCUGGCUAACUCCGUGCCAGCAGCCGCGGUAAUACGGAGAGGGCUAGCGUUAUUCGGAAUUAUUGGGCGUAAAGAGCGCGUAGGCUGAUUAGUAAGUUAAAAGUGAAAUCCCAAAGCUUAACUUUGGAAUUGCUUUUUAAAACUGCUAGUCUAGAGAUUUGAAAGAGGAUAGAGGAAUUCCUAGUGUAGAGGUGAAAUUCGUAAAUAUUAGGAGGAACACCAGUGGCGAAGGCGUCUAUCUGGUUCAAAUCUGACGCUGAGGCGCGAAGGGCGUGGGGAGCGAAACAGGGAUUAGAUACCCGU
rnacentral:rRNA from 1 species